rnacentral:rRNA from 1 species
UACGUAGGUGGCAAGCGUUGUCCGGAUUUAUUGGGCGUAAAGCGCUCGCAGGCGGUCUUUUAAGUCUGAUGUGAAAGCCCACGGCUUAACCGUGGAGGGUCAUUGGAAACUGGAGGACUUGAGUGCAGAAGAGGAGAGUGGAAUUCCAUGUGUAGCGGUGAAAUGCGUAGAGAUAUGGAGGAACACCAGUGGCGAAGGCGACUCUCUGGUCUGUAACUGACGCUGAGGAGCGAAAGCGUGGGUAGCGAACAGGAUUAGAAACCCGUGUAGU